AGCAUUAGUACAUUUCUAUAUCAGUCAAAGAAUUUCAAUUUUACGAACAUCAUCAAAAUUCGCACCACAGAACGCUGUAAGACUGGUUUUUUGUAAUUUUUCAAAUGAGUAAUGAUAGAAAUACAUGAUAGCACUAAAGCAAUGGCUACGAAGAAGCCGCAUAAUGCGACUAUUUCGUUGUCCAUGAAAUUAGAGCUGAUCGUGAUGAAGGGACAAAAAUGCAGGCAAGGUGGCUACCACAAGCUAUAAGGGGGCCUUCUCCAAUUCCAAACAGAUACUACCUACUACGGGCUUUACGGUGUUUGUACGCAUAAGCUAUAGAUAAAGUACCGAAACUUUGUGAUGUGGAAGAGUUCAUCGAAGCUAAUAUUGAUUUACCUCUUU